UUCAGGGAUGGGACAUCCACAACCUCUCAGGGCAACCUACGCUAGUGCCUUCACCGAUGUGUUGGUGAAUAAGUUUGUGGGAGAGGAAGUACACAGCCCAGUAACAGAAUGGACAUACAAUGCUGCGUGGGGUGGGGAAGGGCUCAGAGGUCACUCAGAGGAAUGUGGGCAGACUGGGAAACAAAACCUGACCUGAGAUAUCUGGGAGAAAGGAAUACGAUCCCUCCUCUCAUCAGCAGAAAGCACAAACCUAGGAGGAGUUAACAGGAGCCAGAUGUUCCUGUUAAUUUAUCAAAUAACUUCAAUACAGUAAUCAACUGCAGUUGAGCAGACUGUAGCGGAGUGUUGAUUUGCUAAGCUUGAAGGAAUGGCGUCAAGUUCUCAGAAAGCAUUUCUUUAAAAUGAGCAUUUUGACCUCCUGCUUGUGACCUCCAUUUUGGCAGUGUGAGGCCUUCAAACCCUUUCUCAGUCCUCAGGCCCCUCAUGAAAGCUUGCAGGCCUACAUGGUUGCGGUGAUAAAAAGGUACAUUCAGUUUGGGAUGACACCCUUCCAACCAUGCAUUUCUACACAGGGACAUGGCAUUGGCCUGGGCCAACCAGCUCUACUUGCUCUCAGUCAGAUGUUCUUAGUCUCUGACUUUUAGAAGAAAUUUUCAACAUUUUUACCUCCUCCUUCAGUUUCCCAACCUCUUCCCCCUGAAGCAGCAGCCAACAGAAUUUGUCAGAGUCAACUUUCUGGUUCAGGUAAACUAACUGCAAAUGUGGUGGUCUCACCUGGCUCAGUGCAGAGGGAGCCAUUUUCUGGAGCUUUUAUUUCUGUAUAUUUUCUUCUCUUGCACUGUAAAUUCAGGUGGUUAUUUCAAUUCUGUCAGCAGAAUCAGUUUCUGAUAGGAUUCUUGCUUGCUGUUAGUUAUUCUCAGGAUUCUGCAUUCCUCUGCUGACAUGAUUUGCUCCUUUGCUCUCUGGACCCCAUCCAAAGCCUGUUGAAGCCAAAGAGAACUUUUCCAUUCACUGCAGUAGUAUCUGUAGUAUAUUUCAGAUCGUAUCUGCCCUAUCCCACUCACCUCACCUUAUUCUCAUGGGUUUUCAGUGAUGGUAUUGCUCCUGGAGGAAUGGUUCAGCUGGCUGCAUUUUUGGGGCCCAACCAAGCCCUGCUGUUCUUGGGAUAUCUGCUUCCCUUGGGGCAGGUGGAAGUGCUCCAGACAGGUCACAGGCACCCACACCUGGCUGGGAUGGGAUGGGAAGCAUGUUGAGGACAAGAUCCCAGGAAAGCUUCCACUGUUGAGACUUUGCAGCUUUUCCUAAGGAUGUGCAGCGUGGUUUUUCAGACCAGAUUUGUGCCUGGGUGGCAGGCAGCCCAGAGCUGAUGGGGCUGGUAUUGGCAUCUCCAGCUGGGUCACAUAUCCAGCUGGGAGGGCAGGAAGGAAGAGAGCCUUACAGGAAAAAUUACCAAGAAUUUUAAUGCAGGAAAAGCAGAUUGUCCACAGUCCCAUCUCUGUCAAAAAGGAAAAAAAAAAAAAAAAAAAAAAAAAAAAAAAAGGAAGAGCAGCUUUCUUUUUUCCCCUCCAGAAAGAAGAAAUUUUCAGCCCGUAGCAGACAGAACAGGAAUGUACAGCCUGAAGGGACAAGAGCUGCCAUCCAUUUGAGUAUUUCACCGUGGCAUCUCAUAAUGAGAAUCUUGGGCAGUGUUAAUAAUAUCAGCUCUGCUUGGGCAACCUGUCAGAGAGAUUGGAUGUCAGCUGCAGAGUAAAACACAGCUCCAGCCUAAUUGUGGUCCUCUGGGAGGAGCCUCAUGAAUAUGGAUAAAAAGCUGUAAAGUAUCCUGUGACACCUUGCUGAUUCUUCAAAAUGCAGAUAAUGGUAUGGACACAGUGAAGAGUGAUAAAACGUGUGAUUUCUUUGAAGAGGGAGAAACUUGUGAAUGUCUGAGCUGAGUUGGGCACACAAAAUGAUGUGAGAGUUUUCUACUGAAUAGUAAUAUUCUUUUCCCAGUCUCAUUUACAGUGUCUCCAUGGUAUUUCCAAGAUAUUUCUCUAAAUUUCCUGUGCCAGACUCACAGACUUGCUGAUUAAAUAUUGGGUUGUGCAUGGGAGCACUUUAAAAAGUGUCUGUGUAAACCAAAAAUAAAAUGCUUUUGU
rnacentral:lncRNA from 1 species